CGCGGGAUUGGGGACGGGGUGCAGCAGGCGCGAAACCUUUACAAUGCACGAAAGUGUGAUAAGGGAACCCCAAGUGCUCAUGUUUUACAUGGGCUUUUGCCAAGUGUAAAAAGCUUGGAGAAUAAGUGGUGGGUAAGACUGGUGCCAGCAGCCGCGGUAACACCAGCGCCACGAGUGGGAACCAUGUUUAUUUGGCCUAAAGCGUCCGUAGCUGGCUUAGUAAGUCCUUUGUGAAAGUGUCAAGCUCAACUUGAUAAAAUACAGAGGAAACUACUAAACUAGAGACCGGGAGGAGUCAGGGGAAUUCUAUGGGGAGCGGUAAAAUGCUAUAAUCCUUAGAGGACCACCUGUGGCGAAGGCGCCUGACUAGAACGGAUCUGACAGUGAGGGACGAAAGCUAGGGGAGCGAUCCGGAUUAGAUACCCGAGUAGUCCUAGCCGUAAACGCUGUGAGCAAGGCGUUGCAUAUUCUAUAGGGAUGUGCAGUGUCGAAACGAAGGUGUUAAGCUCACCGCCUGGGAAGUAUGGUCGCAAGACUGAAACUUAAAGGAAUUGGCGGGGGAGCACAACAAGAGGUGCGGCGUGCGGUUUAAUCUAACUCUACGCAGAGAACCUCACCAGAGGCGACGGCAGGAUGAAAGUCAGUCUAAAGGGCUUACUUGACGAGCCGAGAGGUAGUGCAUGGCCGCCGUCAGCUCGUGCUGUAAAGUGUCCUGUUAAGUCAGGUAACGAGCGAGACCUGUAUUCAUAAUUACUAACGGCUAGCUUGCUAGGACCGAGCACUUUAUGAGAACUGCCUUGGAAACAGGGAGGAAGGUGCAGGCAACGGUAGGUCUGUAUGCUCCGAAUCUUCUGGGCUACACGCGCGCAACAAUGGUAAGGACAAUGGGUUGCAACUCCGAAAGGAGAAGCUAAGCCUCUAAACCUUAUCUUAGUUUAGAUUGAGGAUUGCAACUCAUCCUCAUGACAAUGGAAUCUCUAGUAAUCGGAUGUCAACAUCGUCCGGUGAACAAGUCCCUGCUCCUUGCACGAAUUCGCCGAAUCACUAGU
rnacentral:rRNA from 1 species